rnacentral:misc_RNA from 1 species
GAAAUGCGAUACUUGGUGUGAAUUGCAGAAUCCCGUGAACCAUCGAGUCUUUGAACGCAAGUUGCGCCCGAAGCCAUUUGGUCGAGGGCACGUCUGCCUGGGCGUCACGCAACACGUCGCACCCAAUGCCUUUGCACUCACAACGGGUGCCUCGGCCGUCGGGGCGGAGAUUGGCCUCCCGUGUGCCUGCAGGCGCGCGGUUGGCCUAAAGAGGGAGAUCAUGGCGACGAGGGCCACGGCGUUAGGUGGUUGGUUGUCCCGGGCUUUAUCCCGGGCGCGGAUCACGCCGUGCGCCUUAGGCCGUCCGUGCUUCUCGUAGGGCCUUGAAGAAGCCGCUCGUACGGCUUUACGGAUGCGACCCCAGGUCAGGCGGGGCUACCCGCUGAGUUUAA